AUUGAACGCUGGCGGCAUGCCAUACACAUGCAAGUCGAACGGUAACGGGCCUUCGGGUGCCGACGAGUGGCGAACGGGUGAGUAACGUAUCGGAACGUACCUUUCAGUGGGGGAUAACGUAGCGAAAGUUACGCUAAUACCGCAUAUUCUGUGCGCAGGAAAGCAGGGGAUCGCAAGACCUUGCGCUGAUUGAGCGGCCGAUAUCAGAUUAGCUAGUUGGUGAGGUAAAGGCUCACCAAGGCGACGAUCUGGAGCGGGUCUGAGAGGAUGAUCCGCCACACUGUAACUGAGACACGGCCCAGACUCCUCCGGGAGGCAGCAUUGGGGAAUUUUGGACAAUGGGGGCAACCCUGAUCCAGCCAUGCCGCGUGAGUGAAGAAGGCCUUCGGGUUGUAAAGCUCUUUCGGCCGGGAAGAAAUCGUAUGGGCUAAUACCCUGUGCGGAUGACGGUACCGGCAUAAGAAGCACCGGCUAACUACGUGCCAGCCGCCGCAGUAAAAC
rnacentral:rRNA from 1 species